rnacentral:lncRNA from 1 species
GGAGUUUCAAAAAGGGUUGUCAAGAUCAACAAAUGUUACUUCACAUGAUGCAGAGGCAGGCUUGAUUCUGGAAUGAUGAACCCAUGGGGUGAUCUCUGUAUCUUUCACGGUGCACUACUCAGCAUGUGGUCUUGGUUAUCACUUUGGUGGCUGGAUAGGCCUCUGGCCAUCCUGAAAACAUGUCUGCUAUAAUUAGUGCAUAUUUGAAUCAGCCAUUCUUUGGCAUUCUGGCGACUUGACUCCUCUGGAAGAGAUAAUGAGGUUUGGCUAGAUGCUUGGGGCUUUCAUCCAUUCUUCUUGAGUUGCCCUUGGCACAAAUGGCACAAGAUUUACAGUAACUGUUGGUCAGAGAGGCAAUUCCUGAUACUUCAGAGUAUUUAUUGAUCAAAAGAGUUCAUGAGGGUUCUGGACAGAUGCUCCGUAGGCCCACUGGACCACUGCUGAGUAUAUGUUCUUGGGCAAGUAGAACUUGAGAUUGUUGAAGUACAGCCUGUCUUUAAGAGUUGCCCCUUUCUGUUUCCAGCUUGUGGUUUGUUUGUUUUUUUCUUUCUUUCCAGGGUCAGUAGCUUGCUUGUUAUUCCUUCGGGAGCUUGAUGUCUGUGGGUAGGAUCUUACAUGGUGAAUAUGGGAGUUUCUUCAGCAGACACUUUUCUGUCCACUUCCCUUAGUGCACUUACAACUUUUUGAACAACUUAGUCAGCCAGAGAGCUGCCACAUGCUUCCUCUGAGUUCAGUCUUCCUUCAGAGAUCUUGCAUGGUGUGAUGGGAGUCUAUAGCUCAGCUUCUUGUGCAGACAUUGUUGAGGUGAGAUACUUGGUCCACUGUAGUGACAGCAAAUCCGGAACAGAACAUAAGAAAAAGGCUAAAAAAAAAAUAAUAGUCAGUGUCUUAUCAUUUCCCCCCUUGGGAAGUGGCAGAAGAG